rnacentral:lncRNA from 1 species
CCCCUUUUUGGGGGAUUAUUAGAACUAAUCCACGUGGGACUCCUGGGUGGCUCAAUCGGUUAAGCGUCUGACUCUUGAUCUCAGCUUAGGUCACCAUCUCACAGUUGGUGAGUUCGAGCUUAUGAUUCUCUCUCUCUCCCUCUCUCUCUCUGCCCCUCCCCUGCUUCUUGUGCUCUCUCUCUCUCUCUCUAAAUAUAUAAAUAAACUUUAAAAAGAAAGAACUAAUCCAGGAAUCUGUGGAUAGUAAAUCUCAAGACUUUCGUUGUUUCCUUCAAGUCCCACAUUUAGAACUUGAAUAAUUUCCAAAGAUCUUUCCUUCUAUUUAUGAAUCAUUUCUUCCUAUUUGCCUGUGUCCAUCUCUUCAUCCCUUUUUGCAGACCUUCUGGUGAAACAAUUUGGACUCCACGAGCACACUACACAGGGAAGAGGGGAUGAAAUUAUUUUAAGAGACUGGACAAAAGUCCUCAGGUGAAAAUCCUUCCAAAGGGAUUCCCUGCUAGAUUACAUUACUUCCUCCCCAGAGAGUGCCCCUGGGACUCCAAAUGACACCUAAGAAAUUACCAUCAUUUACCAAAAGAGGCUACACAAAGCAUCCACUUUUCUGAUUUGCCAGGAAAGCACAGAGCAAUGUGCGAACACAGGCAGUGUGAAGUCAGCUUUAAGUGGUAGCACUUAUUUUUAGAGUCAGUCAGACUGUGAUGGUCCAUUUGGACAGAAAGUAUAUAUCAAAAAUUCAAUACUCACGGUGAUGAUCUCACAGUAAGUAACUCAUUUAUCUUCGUUUGAAUGUGGUAGUACGUUGGCCAAGUUAGGGCUCAGUCAUGAAGAAUAUUUGAGUUCUAACUCCAGGGCUAAUUGUUACUUGUAGAACUGUAUUCACUUAGUUUGGUGCAAGGCAGGGUCUGUGAGCACCGGCUGUGCCCAUAGCUUCCCAAAUCUGUGUGCAGUGACUUCAGGUUGGUGACCUAAAGUCAGUAACAAUGGGGAGUAUUUACAUCAUGGAAACAGCACAGAUCAGGGCCCCCCUGGUCUCCACCUCCUCAAAAAUUCAGACAUCACUGCAUGUAGGAGAAGAGGGUCUCCACGAACAAGUCUUCCGGCUUCCCCCCUACAGCAUGGUGCUUCUCUUCCGUCGCAUCUCCUCGAACCUACCGAGAUCAGGGUUGUUAUGAAUGUCAAAAUAAAACACUGACUGAUAUAAAAUGACUUCA